CAAAACAGGGACUUCCUAAUGAUUCAUUCACGUGAAUUUAUAUAGUAAAUAGUAAUGAAUAUGACAGCUUUUUGAACUGUACAUCGAGAGAUGACACCUUCCUGUGGAUGAUCCAGAACCUGGGCCAGGGGCUGGAGAGGGAGCUCAUCUCCAUUCUCCCCACCGAUGUCCAGCAUGGGAGUCGUGAGCAACACUUACUGCCUUUAGAGCCGUGAUGAACUCCUCCCUGCUGAUCUUCUGGUUCUCCCCUCGGUCCGCCUUGCUGAACAUCUCCAGGAUCUUGAUCUUGCGGCUGCGCAGAGUUAGAGAGAAAUGGAAGAGGCACCCCUAAACAGACAGCAAGAUGGAGCACAGAGAGCACUGGGGUCGGGCAACUGCGUCCUGCCACUGGACGGCUGGAAGACUUUGCUUCUCCGGGCUUAGUUGUCUCAUCUGCAAUGAGAGGCUGGGACAACAUGAAAACUGAAAUUGCAUUUUCCACAUCUCUCCUGUCAGACAAGACAUUUGCCUUCAGUAUCUAUAAUCCCGCUGGUCUCUGGGUGCGUCCAAACUUACACACCCCUGUUUGGAGCCAGGUGGGGCACCCCACUGUUCCCAGCCUUAGCUCAUGCUGCAAGUCCUGCCUGAAAAACCUUUCCUUCUCUCUCUACCUAUCCAAAUCCUACUCCUCUUCCAAGUCCAGGUUAAAAAGACAUUUAUAAGAAUACUGCCUGACCCUGACAGUUUAUAAGGGCCCUUGCGCUCCCUAGCUUUUUGCUCCUCUGUGCCCCUGUAGUGUUUGGUGUUCACCUCUGUUAGUGGCCUGUAGCCAACUGUAGCAUCAUUAAUUCUUUAUGUGUCUGUUUCCCCCACUAGCAUGUGAGCACCUUGAGAGCAAGUCUG